rnacentral:lncRNA from 1 species
GUGUGAAUUGAACGAACUUAAAAGUACAACCAGCUUAAGCUGGUUUUCCACCUAUUUUUUAGUGUUCGGCCAUUUCUAGCAAAGUCUAAAGGACAUAUUCGUUGCCGAUUUGGGGUUCUGAUGGAAGAUACUGCUGAGGUUAUACACCAAGUAUGUUCGACCAUUUCUAGCAAAGUCUAAAGGACAUAUUUGUUGCCGAUUUGGGGUUCUGAUGGAAGAUACUGCUGAGGUUAUACACCAAGUACACACGUGAUUCUGCUCUGGCAGAAGUGCACGCGCAAUUCAGCUCUGGAAAAACUCCCUGAGGUCCAGAGAGAGAUGAAGUUUAUAGUCAACCUCUGCCUCUCAGAUAGCUUUCUUUUCCAACACUUCUAUGUGGAGAUGGAUGUAAUAUUAAUAUGAUUGAUAGUUUAAGUUUACUAUUUGCAGUUUUCCAAAGUCUCAAAUUUAGGGCUUGGUUCCGGCCUUGUUUCGUAGUGAAUUUAUGGAUUUGAAUACUUCUAAC